UGCGAGGGAUGACCAGAUGCUUCCUGAUUCUCACAGCUGAGGGUUGAAACUGAUUUAAUGAGCCUGACGU